rnacentral:rRNA from 1 species
UACGGAGUGUGCAACCGUUAUUCGGAAUCACUGGGCUUAAAGGGCGCGUAGGCGGCUUACCAAGUCAGGGGUGAAAUCUUGCGGCUUAACCGUAAUCAGCCUCUGAUACUGGUAGGCUCGAGGGAGGUAGGGGUAUGUGGAACUUCUGGUGGAGCGGUGAAAUGCGUUGAUAUCAGAAGGAACGCCGGUGGCGAAAGCGACGUACUGGACCUCUUCUGACGCUGAGGCGCGAAAGCUAGGGGAGCAAACGGG